CAGUCGCCGCGGUAAUACGGAGGGUGCAAGCGUUAAUCGGAAUUACUGGGCGUAAAGCGUACGUAGGUGGUGGUUUAAGUCCGUUGUGAAAGCCCUGGGCUCAACCUGGGAAUUGCAGUGGAUACUGGGUCACUAGAGUGUGGUAGAGGAUAGUGGAAUUUCCGGUGUAGCAGUGAAAUGCGUAGAGAUCGGAAGGAACAUCUGUGGCGAAGGCGACUAUCUGGGCCAACACUGACACUGAGGCACGAAAGCGUGGGGAGCAAACAGGAUUAGAUACCCGGGUAGUCCCUGUCUCUUAUAC
rnacentral:rRNA from 1 species